AACCAGUGUUUUCAAAUUUUCUGCUGAUUCUGAUCAUCAUCAUUUUCAUUUAACGACCUCAUAAUCCCUGGCGGGGUGGAGUUUGGGCAACUGAAUGGAGCUAGCAGAAGGUUUUAAUGGCCGGAUGCCCUU